CCCACGCAGUGAAAUCCAGCAUUUCUUGACUGUCAAUCAACCAUUUUUAAUCCCUGGCCAUUUCUGAUAUAUGACUAGAGAUGCUCACGUGGUUUUGCCUAUGUAGGAGUUUCCAAGCCUAAGAAGUCUGAAACGUUUGCACUCCGCAUGAGGUAUGGAUACUGGAGUUGUAUAAUGGAGCGGCUACAGGAGGGAGAGUCUGAGCAAAACAGAUCAUCGCUAUCCAAAGGGACUGGCUUCCUCCAUGGUCAGACAGCCAUGUCCCCCUCCACAGACAGGGUUAACCAGAGCCACUGCGGAGUCAAGGGUGCAGACCUGACCAGCUAGAUAGGAACUGAUACAUCCUCUUUCUCUCCCUGACCUGCCUGUCACCCAGCCCUAGCAGAGCCACUGCGACAGGGUGGAGCAAUGGCACAGGGCAGGGAAUCCUAGGACCAAACCCAGAGGAGGGAUGGUAGACAAAAUGGUGGACAAGGAUCAAGGAGUGAGCCCAGGAGGGAGAGACGUGAGCAGACGGAAAGGCAAGCUGAAUGAGAACACGUGCUGCUGGGACACCAGUCAUUCCAAACUUCCAUGCCCUCGGCAGGCCUGGCUGUAUCCACGCCAGGGCAGAGGCAGGCAGGGCUCCUAAGACCUUCCAGCUCUGCAGAGGUGGACAAGGCUAAGGUUGAAAGGCAGGAUCUGCCACUGUGUGGCCAGAUCCCCAGUUUCUUUGAACCCUGGUUUCCUCAGCUAUAACAUGGGGUCUCAUCACCUGCCCCACAAGAUUAAUCUGGAGAUUAAACUGCACCAGAGGACACAGAGACGCUGAAAGUCACUAGUCGCUAGGGCUGAUGGAGCCCUGGGAAGGCAGGGGAGGGUGUUCAGAGAGACCAUGGAGCGCCAAGCCCUUGAAAGCCUGGUAUGACCUCUCGUAGUUGUGAGUCUGACUGCAUCAUACCAGGCUGCCAGCUCUCAUAUUCAUUUGUGCCUUGGUCCCCAAGGGCUUGCCUCUUCCCUGGGAGGCUGUGCUCAACCAUGCUUGGAGAAGGCCUGUCCAUCUCCUUGGUGCUGGCAGGAGGCACCCCAUAAAUCAAUCACUAAAUUCCAGGCAGAUGCACACGUUGUUUUGGUUGGAAACCCUGAUCCUCUCUGUGGCUGUGGUGCGACCCGACUCAGGUGAUUCAGUGGGACAGAGGCCUGGAGCUGGUUCCACUAGAGGGUGACGAUAAUAUUUUCUUUCCUGUCUUACCUUGGAGACAGGGUGGGAAUUUUUCCAGCCUUCUAUAUGGGGCCAACGCAAAUGCAGGUUUACUCAGUGAAUAUUUAUAGACCCCAGGGAUCUAGUAACAUGGACUUCAGAGGUCCCCCCCGGGGGAGGGGGGCUCACAGUACACAGUACUCUCCCCAGAACCCCACUGGCCUCACAGCCAGACCAUGGAGGAGGCAAGAGACUAUAUACAUAGCAAAAGAUUGUGACUUAGCUACCUUUGGCUCUGGGUUCAAAUCUCAAGCCUGAUACUUUACCAAACCUCAGCUGAUGUUUCUGCAAACCCGGGGAAGAAACCAAAAAUUUAGGAAGUCCUGAUGUCAGAUUUAAACUACUAUCUAUGAGAUGUUCAGGACUCAGCACAUUUUAAUCAUCUGGAAGAUUACUGAUAUCAAUGUAAUGUUAUGAGUGCUUAGAGAAGGGACACAGCUAACCGAUGUCCCAAAGCAGUGAGAAUUCAGGUGCCUUGAGAAGCAAGAGGUCAGAAUUGAGAUUGGGGCCAAGUAUCAGCCCUCAGGCUUCCUGAAGAUGACCCAGUAAGAAUGAGGAUGUCCAAGUAUGGGGUAGGACAGAGCAGUGAUGUCAGCGCUUUGGUAGUGCUAAAGGACCUCUAAGCCUGGGAGGCUGGUCCUCUACAUCGGUUUGAUGGAUGCUCCUAUCCUGCCCCUCCCUGGGUCUCAGGCUGCUUGGUUCGUUUCUUUCUUUCUCUCCUUCCCAUUUCCCUCCUUUGCAUUUUACUCUGCGGCUCAGGAUGGCUUCAAACACAUGACAACGCUUCCCUGAGAACUAGCUUCAAGGGCACCACACACAGCUUAGGUCUCUGCUUGUCAUUACAGACCCAGGGGUGGGUGGCAGGCUUUCUGGGGUCCCCAGCUUUCUUCUGGACAGAGUCUAGAUCUAAACUUGCUAGCACGUGAGUGUCUGGAAUCCUACAGUGACACAGCCAUUCACCAAGCAUGUGCUCUGUAUAAAAAACACUGAGCAUUUGACUUAAACAGUCUCCUUACCCCUCCGCACGCCCCCAGAAGGUGUCCUGUCACUGUGCCAUUGUGUAAAGAAGAGAAUUAAGUAACACCGUUGUCAAGGUAGAACCAGGAUUUGAAACCAGGCUGACGCUACCCUGCUGUCCCUCUCAUACCUACGCAUACACCCGCAUCACAUGCAUGGUCCUGCCUGUGCUCAGGCAGCUCCCAGAGACUGAGCUCAGCUGACUAACGGCAUGAGGAGAGGAGGCAAAGGCAGGGCAGAGGGGUGAGCUCAGCAGGGCUUCACUGAGAAGGCGAGAGGAUGUGCUUGUGAAUGCUGUCGCUUUGUCCUAGGUUCAAAUCCCAAGCCUGACAUUUCUGCUGAGUAUCCACUGACACCUCUACACACGAGCUCUACCCCUUUGUCCUUAGAGGGGUCCCUAGAUGCUAGUUUGUCUGCUGGCAGCCUCUAGGUAGCCAGUUACUUGGCUCUCCGCCCCAGCCCAAAUGCCUACCCUCCCCAGCUGAACACUUGUGACUCUUAGGAAAGGUUUUUACCUUUGUGAGCCUGUCUGCUCAUUUGUGACAUGGAGCAUGAACCCUCCACCUCAGAGUUGUCCAGAGGACACAGUGCCUGCUCCAGGAGCUCAUGGGAUAUCAAGAUACCAUAUGUUAUACAUGCUGUGGUAAGAUGUGAAGAACAUACAUCUUGGGCUAGCCUCUGACCACCUUACACCAUAACCUGGCUUGGGCUAGCCUCUGACCUUAGCUUUCUCAUUCACUCUGCCAAAAUGCCCUUCUCCACCCCUUUCCUUAGCAAACUCUUUCUCACCCAUCAGAAGCCGAUCCAAUGGCCACCUGUCACAGCUUCUUCUGACUACUACAAAUGGCCGGUACCUUCUCUGUUCCUAUAGCACAUGGUUCACCCUACAGCUAUUGCCCUCUCCCUACAGACUCCGGGCUGCUUGGGGCUGAUGUUAAGACAGUUUGCCUUGGGACCCUCAGAACCAGGUCUGGCUCAGAGCAGAUGUUCAGGGGACAUUCACAGCAACAAUGGGUGACAUAGGCGUGGAUGGCCCUAAGGCCCUCUUUGUUCUCCAGGGCACCCUGCCAUCCGCUUCCCUUCUCUUUCCUAUGGCAGGGCAUCUGCUCCAACACACAUUCUGGGCGAGCCCAAGGCACAGAGAAGUGAAGCAGAGAGUGUCCGCAUGGCUUCCCCACCAGCCACCGUUCCAGAGGAGGCAAGGCUCAGGCAUGUACCGGGAGGGUGGGGUCUGUCACAGUCACAUACCCACCUGCUCAGCCAUCAUUGUAGAGCCAGGCCAGGGUACCAAAGCUGACUGUUCAAAGAGAUAAAAGGCCGGGAAACAAGAGAAUACAAGGGAGGGAUGGGAAAAGAGGAGAAGGAAAAAAUAAUUUUUGAAAAAAAAAGGGGUUCUUUUGGUGUUUGUUUUCAAAGCCACUGACGAAAACCAGAUUUGAAGUUUGGGGUAAAAAGGGAUUUGGGCCUUUCAAAUUCCACUCUCCACUAAUUGACUGCAGUUUCUCUUGAAAGAGCCCUCAGCUCUUCAGAACAAUCAGCAGCCCAGCUGGGCCUCUGCAGCCAGCAGCAGCCUGGCUCCAGAGGGUCGCCCUUGCUAUGUGAGUACCAAGUGACACAGGCCGUUGGACAGAUGGAGGGACAGGCAGGGGUGAAGGACUCUCAAAAGGCACACUUGGAGCCACAUGGGAAGGCCAGGUCAGGAGUCACAUCUAGGCUGCCUGCCUGCCUCCCAGUGCUUGCUCUGUCCUUGGCUGCCUGCCCCUCACGGUGCUUGUGGCUUUCCAGGACAGUAGUGAGCCACGAUGGAUUCAACAGGAGGCUGUAGUGUAGGUUUUCUGUUAGCAACAUACGAGGGUAGGUAUGUUGCUCUUCCCACAUUGUAGCAUACUGACGGCAUCUCCACCUCUCCUCCAGCCAAGUCAAAAGUACCCCCAGCUCAGGCCCUGCUAAUCCUUCCUUACACAGUGUGCACCAUUUUGUAACAGCUUUCUUUGUAGCAAUUCAGAAGCAAACAUUCCUGUUCCCUCUCCACAUAGGGAGAAGCUUAGAUCCAAAGGCCCUCAGCUCCCACAACCCAGUGCUGGGACAAUCCAAGGACUUGUCAUGGGCAGUUCAGACUGUCUCAUGUCAACUCCCGACCCUCAGCCCAGGCAGCUGAGGAAUGAGGCAAAGCCACUUGCCUACUCAGGGGUCCAGUCCUAGCUGUGAGUGGCCCUUCCCAGGCCCCACCCACCCACCAUGUUAAAAAGUAGUCCUGGGAAAAGCUAGCUGUCCCUCCCCAAGUAGCCAAUGCUAUUUUUCUCAGCAGAGGCUGGCUCCUUCUCUUUUCAGUGCCCACACCUAGCCCCGGAGGUGGCCUCCACUGCUGCCCUGGAGUGUGCUCUCCCCGUUCCUGGCCCAGCCUCUCUUCCUUCUACCCUGUAGACAACGGCUCCUGUGCAUGAGCUGCCUCAGUGAACGGAUGGUUUUCUCAAUGCAGAAUCUCAGUGCCCGCUGGGAGAGCCCUGAGGUCCUGCAAUGUUCAGACAGCAGGGGAGUUGGAGGUAUAGGGAGGACCAGGGUGUCCAACUGGGUGAUCCUUCUCUAGUUCUUGGGCUCCUCAUUGAGAAGACAAGGUUGGACACUGUCUUUUCAGACAUUUGUGGACAGGGUCUUCUGGCCCCUUGGGGAUGGCGUUGUCAUAGUGACCCUUGAAGAUGAGGGCUGAGGUGAUUAUGAAGCCCCAGAGAGGCGGGGCCUUGGUAGCAGAGGGCUAACAGCAUCCUUGGCACAUCUUUUUGACACAGUGCUCUUCUUGAGCUUCUGGGAAGGAAGAGCUGGGUCUCAGAAGGUGCGAGGGAGUGACCAGUGACUGGUGGCCCCUGGCUCAACCGGCCGAAGGCAGUCAUCAGCAUGAUCCUAUUGCCACCAUAAUUACAAACACCAGCAGCACAGCUGCCCAGAGCUAAGCUGCCGUGCUUGGAUGGAGGGAACACGGAGUCCAGGUAACACACAGUUCAUCGCAGAGCUGUUCUUGGGGCAUAGAAUAGGCUGCACUCAAGUAAGAGCUCCGUAAAUGCCAGCGAUUGACUGAGCAACAAAAGUCCCGGCCACAGUGGUUUCUUUCUGUGCCCGUGGCUUACACAUCACACAAACACCAAGGUGUCCCCAGGCAUGCUACCUGCCAGGAACCCACAACAGGGUCCUACAAGACAGUGAACUAAUAUCCAGAUGCAUACAAGUCAGAGCUCCAAGUCCCAGGCUGGAGUGGAAGGACCGCACCAUUCAUGCUACAGUACCAUGUUAAGCCGCUUCGAGGUGACCCUACAGAGUACUGCUGUCAUCUCCACGGCUCUCAGAGGAGAAAUCAGGGCUCAGAGAAACUAAGUAACCUCAACAAAGGGGUAAUUGAACUGGGAUUUACCUUGAGUCUACUUGGCUCCUUCUAAGUCAUUUUCAAUCAAAGCAUUAAUGAAUGGGGCGAAGUGGACGCCAGGCGAGCAUUGCAGGGAGGCUAGCACGUGCACAGGCUGUUGGGUGGGCCUUCUGGCUAGCACUUGUACAGCAAGGAUGUGGGAGAUCCUGCCAAACUUAGCCACUCUGGAAGCUUGGAGCACUGAGAAACACGGGUGAAAGUGCA
rnacentral:sRNA from 1 species